rnacentral:rRNA from 1 species
CUGGCUCAGGAUGAACGCUAGCUACAGGCUUAACACAUGCAAGGUCGAGGGGCAGCGGGGAUCUAGCUUGCUAGAUUUGCCGGCGACCGGCGCACGGGUGAGUAACGCGUAUCCAACCUUCCCCUUAGUAGGGCAUAGCCCGUAGAAAUGCGGAUUAAUACCCUAUGUUGUUCGAUGCGGACAUCUAAGUUGAACCAAAGGUUUACCGCUAAGGGAUGGGGAUGCGUCUGAUUAGGCAGCAGGCGGGGUAACGGCCCACCUGGCCUACGAUCAGUAGGGGUUCUGAGAGGAAGGUCCCCCACAUUGGAACUGAGACACGGUCCAAACUCCUACGGGAGGCAGCAGUGAGGAAUAUUGGUCAAUGGGCGAGAGCCUGAACCAGCCAAGUAGCGUGCCAGGACGACGGCCCUAUGGGUUGUAAACUGCUUUUAUGCGGGGAUAAAGUGAGGGACGUGUCCCUUAUUGUAGGUACCGCAUGAAUAAGGACCGGCUAAUUCCGUGCCAGCAGCUGC